UACGGAGGGGGCUAGCGUUGUUCGGAAUCACUGGGCGUAAAGGGCGCGUAGGCGGCCUGGCAAGUCGGGGGUGAAAGCCUGUGGCUCAACCACAGAAUGGCCUUCGAUACUGCUGGGCUUGAGACCGGAAGAGGUCAGUGGAACUGCGAGUGUAGAGGUGAAAUUCGUAGAUAUUCGCAAGAACACCUGAGGCGAAGGCGGCUGACUGGUCCGGUUCUGACGCUGAGGCGCGAAAGCGUGGGGAGCAAACAGG
rnacentral:rRNA from 1 species